rnacentral:rRNA from 1 species
UACGGGGGGGGCAAGCGUUGUUCGGAAUUACUGGGCGUAAAGGGCUCGUAGGUGGCCAACUAAGUCAGACGUGAAAUCCCUCGGCUUAACCGGGGAACUGCGUCUGAUACUGGAUGGCUUGAGUUUGGGAGAGGGACGCGGAAUUCCAGGUGUAGCGGUGAAAUGCGUAGAUAUCUGGAGGAACACCGGUGGCGAAGGCGGCAUCCUGGACCGGCAUUGACGCUGAGGCGCGAAAGCCAGGGGAGCAAACAGG